rnacentral:rRNA from 1 species
AUGACGGCCUUCGGUUUCGUAAACCGCUUUCGCCUGUGAUGAAGCGUGAGUGACGGUAAUGGGUAAAGAAGCACCGGCUAACUACGUGCCAGCAGCCGCGGUGAUACGUAGGGUGCGAGCGUUGUCCGGAUUUAUUGGGCGUAAAGGGCUCGUAGGUGGUUGAUCGCGUCGGAAGUGUAAUCUUGGGGCUUAACCCUGAGCGUGCUUUCGAUACGGGUUGACUUGAGGAAGGUAGGGGAGAAUGGAAUUCCUGGUGGAGCGGUGGAAUGCGCAGAUAUCAGGAGGAACACCAGUGGCGAAGGCGGUUCUCUGGGCCUUUCCUGACGCUGAGGAGCGAAAGCGUGGGGAGCGAACAGGCUUAGAUACCCUGGUAGUCCACGCUGUAAACGGUGGGUACUAGGUGUGGGGUCCAUUCCACGGGUUCCGCGCCGUAGCUAACGCUUUAAGUACCCCGCCUGGGGAGUACGGCCGCAAGGCUAAAACUCAAAUGAAUUGACGGAA